UCUCUCUCUCUCUCUCUCUCUCUCUGUGUUUCUUUUUCGCUCUCUUCCUCCCCCUCUCAACCCCACUCCCCCCUUUCCCCCCUCUCUGUCUCUCUAUCUCUCUCUGCCUCUCUCUCCCUCUCUAUGGCUCACCUCCCUCUCAAACUUUAGCACCCCAGGUAGGACCUAAAGGCCUGCCAUUAGAGAUGAAAUCAUUAUCAGCUCCAAAACAAAGAAACUCUUUCCUCGUUAUCUCGUGGGUAGUUUUCCCUGUGUGGAUAUUGUUCUUGAAGUUAGACUAUUUUACAACAGUUCUUCACAGCCCCAGGCUUAAACAGCUAUACCUAAGACUAUUGGUAGGGAUUGUAUUGACUUGUGGCCUGUGAAUUAUUUAUUAACUCUGUCUGUGCAUUUAUUAACUCUGUGCAUUUAUUAACUCUGUGUGUGUGUGUGUGCGCAUGUAUCCCUCGCUGCAUGCGUUGUGUGUGACUGUGCGUGCGUGUUGUCCAGGCCGAGCUCUUCCUUACCCACAUCUCUGGGCCGAGCUGAGGAGAGAGCAGGGUGUCCGUUCUUCAGACUGGAUCCUUCAGACGAAACUAACGGCUGUUUCCUAGCUGUACUCACCAGAGAGCCCGACCUGGAAGAGAUCGAGUCUGCACAGGAAGUGCUUGCCAGGGCAGCAGCCACGGGCCUAUUGGACGGGAUCGAUUCCAACAAUCCAACUAGGAAGGAGAGGCGUGGCCGACAGACCCACCAGGCACCAAUCAGUCACGCCCGCUCAGCUCAUACACGCCCACACGCCACCGCCAGCAGCCAAUCCAGAGUCAUGGAGUUCCUUAACCGUGAGACCAAGGGUUGUAGCUCCGCCACUACGGUGGGGUCGACCAAUGGAGGUCUGUCGCAACGAGGUCAGUUCAUUCACACACACAGUUUCACUCCUAACACACGCAUACUCAACUGCUCUUUCUGUGUCGUACUAGUCCAAAGGCCCUCGAGCUAUCUCACUCUCUCUUCUCCAUCUUUUCCUUUCACCUCAUUCCUCUCUCACACUCCACAAUCCCCCUCUUCCUCUUUCUCUGUCCUCUAGGUAAAGCCAAGCCUGCUCGCCGACGCCCUCCCAAGCCCUCCCUCUCCAACAGUACCUCCUACACCUCACCUUACCCCGCCCCUAACCCCGCCUCCAGCCUCUCCAGGAAGAAUCAGACCUGCCUCAUCAACACUGCAGCCUCAUACAACAACCGCCACUCGCCUACCGCCACAGACCCCAACCCCCCUGCUGCCCCUCUCACCACAGCCCCCUUCACCCCCCUGGUCCACCCUGGCCCCCCUAAGGGACGUCAGGAGGUGCUGCGCCCCGUGGCCCUCACCCUGCCCCCGGUCCUGUUCCCUGGGUACUCCCCCCCGGCCAGACAGA
rnacentral:lncRNA from 13 species